CCUGCCUGCCCAGUGACUUUAAGUUUAACGGCCGCGGUACCCUGACCGUGCAAAGGUAGCAUAAUCAUUUGCCCUAUAAUUGAGGGCUCGUAUGAAAGGCAAGACGAAGGCUUAGCUGUCUCUAAGAUAAACAAAAAGUUAUGCUUUAAGUGAAGACACUUAAAUAAAAACAGAGGACAAGAAGACCCUAUAGAGCUUUACUGAUACAGAAAUUUAUCAUAAAAAUUAAAACACCUAAUUUCCUAAAGCAGUUUGGUUGGGGCGACCAAGGAACAUUAUAACUUCCUAAAAAAUUAUAUACUUAUUAGUAAAAUAUAUGACCCAUUAUUAUGAACAACAGACUAAGCUACCUUAGGGAUAACAGCGUAAUCUUCUUUAAGAGUUCAUAUCUACAAGAAGGGUUGCGACCUCGAUGUUGGACUAGGAUACCCAGAAGGUGCAGCAGCUUUCAAAGG
rnacentral:rRNA from 1 species